rnacentral:rRNA from 4 species
GAAACACGGACCAAGGAGUCUAGCAUGUGCGCGAGUCAUUGGGACUCUGUUAAACCUAAAGGCGCAAUGAAAGUAAAGGUCCGCCUCGCGCGGACCGAGGGAGGAUGGGCCCGUCCACGGGCGGGCCCCGCACUCCCGGGGCGUCUCGUUCUCAUCGCGAGAAGAGGCGCACCCAGAGCGUACACGCUGGGACCCGAAAGAUGGUGAACUAUGCCUGGUCAGGACGAAGUCAGGGGAAACCCUGAUGGAGGUCCGUAGCGAUUCUGACGUGCAAAUCGAUCGUCGGAACUGGGUAUAGGGGCGAAAGACUAAUCGAACCUUCUAGUAGCUGG